UAAUACGUAGGGUGCGAGCGUUAAUCGGAAUUACUGGGCGUAAAGCGUGCGCAGGCGGUGCGCCAAGCUCGAUGUGAAAGCCCCGGGCUUAACCUGGGAAUUGCAUUGAGGACUGGCGUGCUCGAGUGCGGCAGAGGGGGGUGGAAUUCCACGUGUAGCAGUGAAAUGCGUAGAGAUGUGGAGGAACACCGAUGGCGAAGGCAGCCCCCUGGGCCGACACUGACGCUCAGGCACGAAAGCGUGGGGAGCAAACAGGAUUAGAUACCCUGGUAGUCCACGCCCUAAACGAUGUCGACUGGUUGUUGGGGGAGGCAACUUCCUUAGUAACGAAGCUAACGCGUGAAGUCGACCGCCUGGGGAGUACGGCCGCAAGGUUA
rnacentral:rRNA from 1 species